rnacentral:rRNA from 1 species
AUGAAAUGGAAAAUCUUGCUCAAGAUGCCAAACUACUUGAUUAGCACACAAAUAAUGAUUAUUGCGGCUACCAUGACACUACACAACUACGUCCGUCUCCAUGACAAAGAGGAUCUUCAUUUUCUUCGGUGUGAGAGGGAUCCGGAUUAUGUUACAACUAUUCCGGAGAGAUACAAGAAGUAUGUUAUUCCUCCAAAUGCAUCGGAUGUUUCAACACCGGUGGAAAGUGGUCCUAACAUGGAUUUGUUUAGACACGAACUAGCUACCGCCAUUGCUCUAAGUUGGUGA